AUGCAAAAUGUGCUGGCCAAGUGAUCCCUUGGAAAAGCAGUCAGGCGUUGGCAAGAUAAACCGUGCUGGGCACCUUAGCCACUGCAGCUCCCUGGCUGGCUUACAGAGGGAGGAUGGAGCUGGGCAGUGCACUCUUCCCUGACACUAAAGUUCUGCCAGAUGGAUGUACUUCCAGGCGAGGUCGCUCAGUUCUGACCCUGAGUCACCAAAAGAGCCCAUGAACAAACCAGCCAGGACACCAUGGAGGAGAAGACCAAGGAAAUACCUCUUGGCCACCCAGCAAGUGAGAGGCAGGCUCAGGCAAGCUCAGCAGCAUCUUGACCCAUCACUGCACUCUGCUUUUGGAGACUUUGAUAAGGCCCUGGGGAUUGAAACCAGGAUUCAGGACAGCAGACAGCUGGCACCUCCACCCGACUCUCCUUUAGCAGAGAUCUCUCGCCAACCACAAGUUCUCUGCCCUGCCGAUUUUAAACAUAACCUCAGAGUCACUCCCAAGAAAGCCAUAUUAAUCAACGAGAACUGA
rnacentral:lncRNA from 1 species